UUUCAUACCAAAACGUCCAAC
rnacentral:piRNA from 1 species